GGGCGAUUAGCUCAGUGGUAGAGCAUCUCGUUUACACCGAGGGGGUCGGCGGUUCAAUCCCGUCAUCGCCCACCA
rnacentral:tRNA from 1 species